AUUGAACGCUGGCGGCAUGCCUUACACAUGCAAGUCGAACGGCAGCACGGGGGCAACCCUGGUGGCGAGUGGCGAACGGGUGAGUAAUACAUCGGAACGUGUCCUGUAGUGGGGGAUAGCCCGGCGAAAGCCGGAUUAAUACCGCAUACGCUCUACGGAGGAAAGGGGGGGAUCUUAGGACCUCCCGCUACAGGGGCGGCCGAUGGCAGAUUAGCUAGUUGGUGGGGUAAAGGCCUACCAAGGCGACGAUCUGUAGCUGGUCUGAGAGGACGACCAGCCACACUGGGACUGAGACACGGCCCAGACUCCUACGGGAGGCAGCAGUGGGGAAUUUUGGACAAUGGGCGAAAGCCUGAUCCAGCAAUGCCGCGUGUGUAAAGAAGGCCUUCGGGUUGUAAAGCACUUUUGUCCGGAAAGAAAACGCCGUGGUUAAUACCCGUGGCGG
rnacentral:rRNA from 1 species